rnacentral:rRNA from 1 species
AACGCGAAGAACCUUACCUACUCUUGACAUCCAGAGAACUUAGCAGAGAUGCUUUGGUGCCUUCGGGAACUCUGAGACAGGUGCUGCAUGGCUGUCGUCAGCUCGUGUUGUGAAAUGUUGGGUUAAGUCCCGCAACGAGCGCAACCCUUAUCCUUUGUUGCCAGCGAUUCGGUCGGGAACUCAAAGGAGACUGCCGGUGAUAAACCGGAGGAAGGUGGGGAUGACGUCAAGUCAUCAUGGCCCUUACGAGUAGGGCUACACACGUGCUACAAUGGCGCAUACAAAGAGAAGCGACCUCGCGAGAGCAAGCGGACCUCAUAAAGUGCGUCGUAGUCCGGAUCGGAGUCUGCAACUCGACUCCGUGAAGUCGGAAUCGCUAGUAAUCGUGGAUCAGAAUGCCACGGUGAAUACGUUCCCGGGUCUUGUACACAC